rnacentral:rRNA from 1 species
UGGGGAUUAUUGCACAAUGGGCGCAAGCCUGAUGCAGCCAUGCCGCGUGUAUGAAGAAGGCCUUCGGGUUGUAAAGUACUUUCAGCGAGGAGGAAGGCGGUAAGGUUAAUAACCUUAUCGAUUGACGUUACUCGCAGAAGAAGCACCGGCUAACUCCGUGCCAGCAGCCGCGGUAAUACGGAGGGUGCAAGCGUUAAUCGGAAUUACUGGGCGUAAAGCGCACGCAGGCGGUCUGUCAAGUCGGAUGUGAAAUCCCCGGGCUCAACCUGGGAACUGCAUUCGAAACUGGCAGGCUAGAGUCUUGUAGAGGGGGGUAGAAUUCCAGGUGUAGCGGUGAAAUGCGUAGAGAUCUGGAGGAAUACCGGUGGCGAAGGCGGCCCCCUGGACAAAGACUGACGCUCAGGUGCGAAAGCGUGGGGAGCAAACA